AUUGAACGCUGGCGGCAUGCUUUACACAUGCAAGUCGAACGGCAGCGGGGAGGAGCUUGCUUCUCUGCCGGCGAGUGGCGAACGGGUGAGUGAUACAUCGGAACGUGUCGAGAAGAGGGGGAUAACCACCCGAAAGGGUGACUAAUACCGCAUAAAUUCUGAGGAAGAAAGCUGGGGACCUGGGAAUAGGCCUAGCGCUUUUUGAGCGGCCGAUGUCGGAUUAGCUAGUUGGUGAGGUAAAGGCUCACCAAGGCGAAGAUCUGUAGCGGGUCUGAGAGGAUGAUCCGCCACACUGGGACUGAGACACGGCCCAGACUCCUACGGGAGGCAGCAGUGGGGAAUUUUGGACAAUGGGGGCAACCCUGAUCCAGCCAUGCCGCGUGUAUGAAGAAGGCCUUAGGGUUGUAAAGUACUUUUGUUAGGGAAGAAAAGUAAGAUGUGAAUAAUGGCUGAUACUGACGGUACCUAAAGAAUAAGCACCGGCUAACUACGUG
rnacentral:rRNA from 1 species